UGGUAAUGCCGGAUGCUCCGACUCCUCGCAUGGGGUGUCGGGAAAGAUUUCAUCGGUAUGGGAUGGGGUCGCGUCCUAUCAGGUAGUCGGCGGGGUAACGGCCCACCGAGCCUACGACGGGUAGCCGGCCUGAGAGGGCGACCGGCCACAUUGGGACUGAGAUACGGCCCAGACUCCUACGGGAGGCAGCAGUGGGGAAUAUUGCACAAUGGGCGCAAGCCUGAUGCAGCGACGCCGCGUGCGGGAUGACGGCCUUCGGGUUGUAAACCGCUUUUGAUCGGGAGCAAGCCUUCGGGUGAGUGUACCUUUCGAAUAAGCACCGGCUAACUACGUGCCAGCAGCCGCGGUAAUACGUAGGGUGCAAGCGUUAUCCGGAAUUAUUGGGCGUAAAGGGCUCGUAGGCGGUUCGUCGCGUCCGGUGUGAAAGUCCAUCGCUUAACGGUGGAUCUGCGCCGGGUACGGGCGGGCUGGAGUGCGGUAGGGGAGACUGGAAUUCCCGGUGUAACGGUGGAAUGUGUAGAUAUCGGAAAAGAACACCA
rnacentral:rRNA from 1 species